rnacentral:lncRNA from 1 species
GUCUUAACUAGUAUGCUAUGUCUGAAAAGGUUCAGAGAAGAGUAGAUAUCGAAGCAGUUGAAAGGAGAUUUUUGCAUUACCAUUGCUACAGUACUCCUUGGAGGGAGGCAGCAUGAAAGAAAAAAAGGGAAGCGAAAAGUCGCUCACAUGGAUAGUUUUUCACUUGCAGUUAUGCUCUGUUCCGAGACAAUAAUGAUGACCACAUAAACUAAUUUUCAAUAAAAAAUAAAAAAGGAAAUCUGCGUAAACAUAAC